CCACAUCACGUUAAAAGAUCGGUUCCCGUACGAUCACCGAAAUUAAGCAAUGCCGAACCUGGCCAGUACCCAAAUGGGUGACUGUUUGGGAAGACUAAGUGCUGUAA